rnacentral:rRNA from 1 species
UCGGGAAUCUUGGGCAAUGGGCGAAAGCCUGACCCAGCAACGCCGCGUGAGGGAUGAAGUAUUUCGGUAUGUAAACCUCGAAAGAAUGGGAAGAAUAAAUGACGGUACCAUUUAUAAGCUCCGGCUAACUACGUGCCAGCAGCCGCGGUAAUACGUAGGGAGCAAGCGUUGUUCGGAUUUACUGGGCGUAAAGGGCGCGUAGGCGGCGCGGUAAGUCACUUGUGAAAUCUCUGAGCUUAACUCAGAACGGCCAAGUGAUACUGCUGUGCUAGAGUGCGGAAGAGGCAACCGGAAUUCUUGGUGUAGCGGUGAAAUGCGUAGAUAUCGAGAGGAACACCUGAAGCGAAGGCGGGUUGCUGGGCCGACACUGACGCUGAUGCGCGAAAGCCAGGGGAGCAAACG